CGUGGCGCGAGGACCCGGGGCUGCCAGCCCUCCCGCUAGUCCUCCCGCGUGUCCGCCGCGCCCCGGGCGGGGUGGGGGUGGGGUGGCGCCCCGCGUGUCCCCGAUCGCCUCAGCCCGCGCCCCAGCCCGCCCCGCGGAGGUCUCAGCCGCCCAUACCUGCAGCAUCCGGGGGCGCGGGGCGCCCAGGCUCCAGGGAUCCAUGGAAAACCUUGGUCUUUUGGAGUUUAUAUAUGAGAAGAGGAGAAGGAUGAAGUCGUUGAUACCUGCUCCUAAGAGGACCAGGUCAAUCGAGCUCCUCCCUGAGAAAUGAGGGAUGUGAUCAGAAAGAUUGUCCAAGGUGACUCUAGUUCCCAGAGGAAGGAGAAAAAUUCGAAGUCCAUCUAAACUGCAAAAUAACUGGUUAUUUCAUGAUGUUGAAUUUUGGGAGUGGCUUCUUAUUCAGCAAUGACACAUGAGGUGACUGAUCCAAAGGAUAUUAAUUCUCUCUUCUGAGAGAGCUACGUGACAGCCCUGUGUUGCGGAAAUUACUUUUAACUGCGGAGAUGUGUUCCAUUUGUUCAUGCUGCAGAAUAUGACUUUAACUGU